UACGGAGGGUGCAAGCGUUAUCCGGAUUCACUGGGUUUAAAGGGCUCGUAGGCGGCCAACUAAGUCGGACGUGAAAUCCCUCGGCUUAACCGGGGAACUGCGUCCGAUACUGGAUGGCUUGAGUUCGGGAGAGGGAUGCGGAAUUCCAGGUGUAGCGGUGAAAUGCGUAGAUAUCUGGAGGAAUACCGGUGGCGAAGGCGGCAUCCUGGACCGACACUGACGCUGAGGUGCGAAAGCGUGGGGAGCGAACAGG
rnacentral:rRNA from 1 species